UACGAAGGGGGCAAGCGUUGUUCGGAAUUACUGGGCGUAAAGGGCGCGUAGGCGGCUCGAUAAGUCUGCUGUGAAAGUCCAGGGCUCAACCCUGGGAUGCCGGUGGAUACUGUCGAGCUCGAGUCCGGAAGAGGCGAGUGGAAUUCCUGGUGUAGCGGUGAAAUGCGCAGAUAUCAGGAGGAACACCAAUGGCGAAGGCAGCUCGCUGGGACGGUACUGACGCUGAGACGCGAAAGCGUGGGGAGCAAACAGG
rnacentral:rRNA from 1 species